UUUAAUAUGGAUGGUAUAGGUGCCCUUUUGGGCUUAAUAGGGAAGUCCGGUUAAAUUCCGGCGCGGUCCCGCCACUGUAAUGAGGAGUAACCCCAUAAUUAUGUCACUGAGAUGAAACUUGGGAAGGCUUGGGGAAGCAAUGAUUCAAAGUCAGGAGAACUGCCUAUACAGCAAUCACCGU
rnacentral:ncRNA from 2 species